AAAAAUUGAUUGUAGGAAGGAAAGAGAAAUGAAUAGCAAGAGUCCACUGUAUCAUUGUGUUGAUGUUCUCCUAAUCCCAGGAGGGUGCUUAGGCCAUUCUGAAACCAACCAAGAAGGAAGCUUGGAGGACAGGACACUUGACUCAGACCUGAGGGUCUCAGUGUUGUGAAAUGGAAUCUUAAACUAGUUAAUCAAGAAUCAUCUGAUCAGCACCAGUUGGGUAAACUGCUUGACAGACUCCUGCCAUCAACUGAAGGAAAAAAUUGUUCAUCCAUUCCAGUGUUAAUGGACGUUUGGGUUGUUUCCCAAAAUUCUCCAAGCCAGGCUUCAGCAAUAUGUGAACCGUGAACUUCCUGAUGUUCAAGCUGGUUUUAGAAAAGGCAGAGGAACCAGAGAUCAAAUUGCCAACAUCCGCUGGAUCAUGGAAAAAGCAAGAGAGUUCCAGAAAAACAUCUAUUUCUGCUUUAUUGACUAUGCCAAAGCCUUUGACUCUGUGGAUCACAAUAAACUGUGGAAAAUUCUGAAAGAGAUGGAAUACCAGACCACCUGAUCUGCCUCUUGAGAAAUCUGUAUGCAGGUCAGAAAGCAACAGUUAGAACUGGACAUGGAACAACAGACUGGUUCCAAAUAGGAAAAGGAGUACGUCAAGGCUGUAUAUUGUCACCCUGCUUAUUUAACUUCUAUGCAGAGUACAUCAUGAGAAACUCUGGACUGGAAUAAGCACAAGCUGGAAUCAAGACUGCUGGGAGA
ensembl:lncRNA